UACGGGGGGUGCGAGCGUUGUCCGGAAUCACUGGGCGUAAAGGGCGCGUAGGUGGUCUGAUAAGGGUGUGGUGAAAGCCCGGGGCUCAACCCCGGGUCGGCCGUGCCGACUGUUGGACUAGAGUGCUGUAGGGGCAGGCGGAAUUCCGGGUGUAGCGGUGGAAUGCGUAGAUAUCGGGAGGAACACCAGUGGCGAAGGCGACUACCUGGCCUGUUUCUUGACGCUGAGGCGCGAAAGCUAGGGGAGCAAACGGG
rnacentral:rRNA from 1 species